GUCCUGAUGAAGUUCUGACCAUCAGAUUAUGCAAAAUCCUCUAUUAUAAACUGGUAAUGGAUGCUGACCGUCGGAUUUGGAUCGGGAUGAAUGUCAGCUAUUGGAUCAUGCCCAGAAUCUUUCUCCCACUGUAAGCCACACCUAUGGACCACGCCCUAGCUCUGUAGACCGAGCGACCGGUCCACUGUGCACCGGAGGUAAUAUUUUUUAUUUUUAAGAUAUUUUAGCUCAA
rnacentral:lncRNA from 1 species